GACGUAAGGGGCCAGCGUUGCUCGGAAUUACUGGGCGUAAAGGGUUCGUAGGCGGUGUGGCAAGUCGGGAGUGAAAUCUCCAGGCUCAACUUGGAGGCUGCUUCCGAAACUGCCGCGCUAGAGUGCGAGAGAGGCCAGUGGAAUUGCAGGUGUAGCGGUGAAAUGCGUAGAUAUCUGCAGGAACACCCGUGGCGAAGGCGGCUGGCUGGAUCGCAACUGACGCUGAGGAACGAAAGCUAGGGGAGCAAACAGG
rnacentral:rRNA from 1 species